rnacentral:sRNA from 1 species
AACUCCCUGGCUGCCGUGAAAAGACAAGGCACUGGGCAGUGAUGAGGGUCCUUCUCCAUCUCCCAGCCCUCCUGGCUUCCCUCAUCUUGCUUCAGGCUGCAGCAUCUACCACAAGAGAUCCCAGCCUGGACUUGACUUCACUGUCUCUAGAGGUGGGCUGUGGUGCUCCUGCUCCCGUGGUGAGAUGUGACCCGUGCAGCCCUUACCGCACCAUUACGGGAGACUGCAAUAACAGGAGGAAGCCUGCGCUGGGCGCCGCCAACAGGGCUCUGGCGCGCUGGCUGCCCGCGGAGUACGAGGACGGGCUCUCCCUGCCCUUCGGCUGGACGCCGGGGAAGACGCGCAACGGCUUCCCUCUCCCUCUGGCCCGGGAGGUAUCUAACAAGAUUGUUGGCUAUCUGAAUGAGGAGGGUGUUCUGGACCAAAACAGGUCCCUGCUCUUCAUGCAGUGGGGUCAGAUUGUGGAUCACGACCUGGACUUUGCCCCUGACACCGAGCUGGGGAGUAGCGAGUACUCCAAAGCCCAGUGUGAUGAGUACUGUAUCCAGGGAGACAACUGCUUCCCCAUCAUGGUACGGCCCUGCAGCUGGGCAUCUCUGCCUAGCCCCUUGCCCACCCUGAUGUAGCAGACAUUCCCAGCUCAUCAGCUAGGAUCUCUGGAUAGAUCUUGGAUACUGAUUUGGUAGUUUCCCAUGCCUCACGAGUCCAUUCGUUCACUCAUCCGUUUAUUCAGUAAAUAGACAUUGACCACCCCAUACCAGGCAGUGCACUAAGCGCUGAGGAUUCCAAAGUGAACAGGACACUGCUCCUGCUCUCAAGAACAAAGGGCCAGUGUGGGAAUUGGACAAGUAAACUACUGAUAGCAGAAUGGGAACACUGGAGAAGGUUGUCUACAUUCCCGGCCCAGCAGCAUUGGUAAAACCUGCUUAUUAGAAAUGUAAAAUCUCAGUUGGGCGAGGCGGCUCAUGCCUAUAAUCCCAGCACUUGGGGAGGCUGAGGUGGACAGAUCACCUGAGGUCAAGAGUUUGAGACCAGCCUGGCCAACAUGGUGAAACCCUGUCUCUACUAAAAAUACAAAAAUUAGCCUGGCGAGGUGGCACAUGCAUGUGGUCCCAGCUACUCAGGAGGUUGAGGCAGGAGAACCGCUUGAACCUGGGAGGCGGAGGUUGCAGUGAGCCGAGAUCACGCCACUGCACUCCAGCCUGGGCGACAGAGCGAGACUCCAACUCAAAAAAGAAAAAAG